GGAGAAGGCCACACACAUCUGUAGGUCUUGGAUUUUUUGCUGCAUAGAGUAAUCAGAUGAGAGCUUGGGUGGUCUCCCUUGAUAAGGAGAUGACAUUUGUGGAUCAAUCCUCCUAUCUGCUUCCAGUCAUCACACAUUAGCCUUUUACUCAUGAAGAGUCAAAGCUCUACUGCCUGAAUGAGCCCAGGACACUUGCCUCCACCCAUCCAGUGUUAUCACCUAGGCUCUAACUCUGUUAAAGUCCAUUUCUUCACUACUGAACAUUGGAAAAUGGGUGUGGACGAGUGAGAAAGUCUGGAACAGGAGGAAAAGAAAAGGGAACAGAUUCCUAGAUGUUCCAGCAAGUGGAAACACAGUUGGGAAAACAUGGCUUGGGAAGCAGAGACUUGGAGGAGGAGGAACUGUGUCCCUGGGGAAACCCGUCUUAUUGUGCUCCAACAGACAUCAAAGCCUGGAAGAUACCUGAACUAGAAAAUGGGAAGAAAAUUAUUCUCCUGGUGGCUUUUGUAAAUUCGUUUGUAUUCGG